AUAGAAUUUCCGUCUGUCUCCCAGGCUGGAGUGCAGUGGCACGAUCUCGACUCACUGCAACCUCCACCUCCUGGAUUCAAGUGAUUCUCCUGCCUCAGCCCCCUGCGUAGCUGGGAUUACAGGCACUCUCCCUCUUCCUUCUAUGACAAGGACCCUGAUUCGACACGGCUGCCCAUGUUCCCAGCUCCAGGAGAUAAACGAAGUCAAACCUAAGCCACUCAUGACAAAUUUGUCUCCUGUGUAAUUGGUCUAGGCACAAGCACAUGACCCAUUUAUAGACAAUGAGACAGGUGGGACGUCUUAAAGCACUGGAAAUAUUUUUCUCCUUGACACAUAGAAAGUAGUCACACUUGGUAAAGACCUUCAACUGCGCUCACAUUCUGUCCUGCUUUCUGGGGACCACAUGAUGGUGCCUGAAUCAGAGGCAGCCACCUAGGGACCAUGAACGACUAAGCCUUAAAUAAGCUAAAGAAGGCAGGAGAGGAUGGAAAAAGACCUCCAGGAAUUUCCAAGUCAACCCUGGGAGUGUCCACCAUGGUAGGCUAAACAAUGGCCUAUCAAAGAUGCCCAUGUUCUAAUUCCCAGGACUGCUAGGUCACUCCCUACAUAUAAUUGAACCUCUGUGGAAUUGAAGGAUCCAUGGAAGAAAGAUGAAAACCGUUUGUUUAUGUAAAAGACAGAGCAAGUAUACUAAAAUCACAGAGCGGUCACUUAAUAGUAGGUUUUGAAAACUUAAUUUGCAUGGGAAAAUACUAUACACAGUUUUAAAAUCAAAUUGAUACUGUCUUGGUGCCAUUUUAAAAAAUCAGAACAAAAUUCUAAAUUUGCAGAUCUGGUAGCUCUGUAAGUAUGGUUUUAUGGUAGAGUAUGGUUUUUUUUAUUCCAUAUUUUAAAAACAAUAGAUAAAUAAGCUUUCUGCAGUCUAUAUGCUGAAUUACAUUAAUAGGCACGUAUAUGUUGUUUACAUUAUAAUUACAUUUCCCAUAUAUUAUGUCAUUGAAUCUUUACAAAAACCUGUGUUAAGUAUUAUAUUUCCCAGUUAAUUCUAAUGCCUAAAUGCUUAUUAUCUAGAAAAGUUUAGAAAACUUUUUCCGUAAAGAACCAGAGAGUAAAUAUGUUAUGGUCUCUAUUACGAAUACUCAACUCUGCUCUUGUAACAACAAAGCAACCUAUAAAAUAUGUAAAUGAAUGACUGUGGCUCUGUUCUAAUAAAAACUCUAUUUGUAAAAAUAAGCAGCUCCCCUAGGCCAUAGUUUGCCCAACUCUGACCGAGAUAAUUUAUUCCACACUGAUUUGUGUAUGGUGAUCUUGUAUGUAUGGUGAUCUUGUAUUCUGCCACCUUGCUGAACUCACUUAUUAGUUUUCAUCUUUUUUUUUUGUACAUUUCUUGGGAUUUUCUACAUAGACAAUUAAACACACACUCCUAAGUGAAAUAAACCAAACUCAAAAGGUCAAA